GAAAGUUCCGGCGGUUUAAGAUGGACAUGCGUUGUAUUAGUUAGUUGGUGAGGUAACGGCUCACCAAGGCGACGAUACAUAGGGGGACUGAGAGGUUAACCCCCCACAUUGGUACUGAGACACGGACCAAACUCCUACGGGAGGCAGCAGUGAGGAAUAUUGGUCAAUGGACGCAAGUCUGAACCAGCCAUGCCGCGUGCAGGAUGACGGCUCUAUGAGUUGUAAACUGCUUUUGUACGAGGGUAAUAUCAGAUACGUGUAUCUGCUUGAAAGUAUCGUACGAAUAAGGAUCGGCUAACUCCGUGCCAGCAGCCGCGGUAAUACGGAGGAUCCAAGCGUUAUCCGGAUUUAUUGGGUUUAAAGGGUGCGUAGGCGGUUUUAUAAGUUAGAGGUGAAAAUUCGGGGCUCAACUCCGGACGUGCCUCUAAUACUGUAUGACUAGAGAAUAGAUGCGGUAGGCGGAAUGUAUGGUGUAGCGGUGAAAUGCGUAGAGAUCAUACAGAACACCGAUUGCGAAGGCAGCUUACCAAACUAUAUCUGACGUUGAGGCACGAAAGCGUGGGGAGCAAACAGGAUUAGAUACCCUGGUAGUCCACGCAGUAAACGAUGAUAGCUCGUUGUCGGCG
rnacentral:rRNA from 1 species